rnacentral:rRNA from 1 species
AGCCCAACAGCUAGCCUAAACAACCAAAAACAACAACUAAACAUAAAUAAACCCUAACACACCCAACAAUCCCAAACAAACCAUUUUACCCCUUUAGUAUAGGCGAUAGAAAAG